rnacentral:rRNA from 1 species
UAGGGAAUCUUCGGCAAUGGACGGAAGUCUGACCGAGCAACGCCGCGUGAGUGAAGAAGGUUUUCGGAUCGUAAAGCUCUGUUGUUAGAGAAGAACGUUGGUAGGAGUGGAAAAUCUACCAAGUGACGGUAACUAACCAGAAAGGGACGGCUAACUACGUGCCAGCAGCCGCGGUAAUACGUAGGUCCCGAGCGUUGUCCGGAUUUAUUGGGCGUAAAGCGAGCGCAGGCGGGUCUUUAAGUCUGAAGUUAAAGGCAGUGGCUUAACCAUUUUACGCUUUGGAAACUGGAGGACUUGAGUGCAGAAUGGGAGAGUGGAAUUCCAUGUGUAGCGGUGAAAUGCGUAGAUAUAUGGAGGAACACCGGUGGCGAAAGCGGCUCUCUGGUCUGUAACUGACGCUGAGGCUCGAAAGCGUGGGGAGCAAACAGG